rnacentral:rRNA from 1 species
GGCUCAGGAUGAACGCUAGCUACAGGGCUUUAACACAUGCAAGUCGAGGGGAAACGAUAUUGGAAGCUUGCUUCCGAUAGGCGUCGACCGGCGCACGGGUGAGUAACGCGUAUCCAACCUGCCCAUCACUUGGGGAUAACCUUGCGAAAGUAAGACUAAUACCCAAUGACGUCUCUAGAAGACAUCUGAAAGAGAUUUAAAGAUUUUAUCGGUGAUGGAUGGGGAUGCGUCUGAUUAGCUUGUUGGCGGGGUAACGGCCCACCAAGGCGACGAUCAGUAGGGGUUCUGAGAGGAAGGUCCCCCACAUUGGAACUGAGACACGGUCCAAACUCCUACGGGAGGCAGCAGUGAGGAAUAUUGGUCAAUGGACGAGAGUCUGAACCAGCCAAGUAGCGUGCAGGAUGACGGCCCUAUGGGUUGUAAACUGCUUUUAUAAGGGAAUAAAGUGGGAGUCGUGACUCUUUUUGCAUGUACCUUAUGAAUAAGGACCGGCUAAUUCCGUG